CCCUAUAUGAAUCAUUGCCUAGUCCCUUAGCAAUACUCAUAAGAAUUGAAAUUCAGGACUAAUAGUGAAUCAAAAUAUCAUGUUUAAAUAUGUCUACUUGGCUCAGAUAUGCUUCAAAAUCUAUGGUAAGUAUCAAAGUGAAUUGUAUCUCAAUUGUGAAAACACUUCUCAACAUUGUAUUCAAAAUUUGAUCUUUAUAUUAAUGCAAGGUCAGCACUUAUAAUCAGUAGAUAUCACCACAUAGAUAUAUGAAAUUCUAUCUAACAUUCAAGAAUGUUAUCCAUUCUGUAAACCUUAAUCUUUUUCCCAUAGUUAGAGUUUGCUUGGCCCUUUCUAAAUAAUUUGGGGACAGGUAGCUUUUUCCUCACGGUGUUUUUUUGACAAGAGAAGAGUGGAUAAACACUUCCUCCGUCUGAAAAUCCGAUUUUUGGAGCUUCACACUGUCUCUUUUUUUCUCUUUUUUCAUUCAUAGACAGGUAGCUUUUUCCUCACGGUGUUUUUUUGACAAGAGAAGAGUGGAUAAACACUUCCUCCGUCUGAAAAUCCGAUUUUUGGAGCUUCA
rnacentral:lncRNA from 1 species